rnacentral:rRNA from 1 species
UACGUAGGGUGCGAGCGUUAAUCGGAAUUACUGGGCGUAAAGUGUGCGCAGGCGGCCGCGCAAGUCGAGUGUGAAAGCCCCGAGCUUAACUUGGGAACUGCGCUCGAAACUACGUGGCUGGAGUGUGGCAGAGGAAGGUGGAAUUCCAGGUGUAGCGGUGAAAUGCGCAGAUAUCAGGAGGAACACCGGUGGCGAAGGCGGGUCUCUGGGCAACAACUGACGCUGAGGAGCGAAAGCGUGGGGAGCGAACAGG